GACGAAGGUGGCAAGCGUUGUUCGGAUUCACUGGGCAUAAAGGGCGCGUAGGCGGUUCCGCAGGUGGCGUGUGAAAUCCCCCGGCUCAACCGGGGAAGUGCGCGCCAAACCACGGUUCUUGAGGGCGGUAGGGGGGACUGGAACUCUCGGUGGAGCGGUGAAAUGCGUAGAUAUCGAGAGGAACACCGGCGGCGAAGGCGAGUCCCUGGUCCGCAUCUGACGCUGAGGCGCGAAAGCGUGGGUAGCAAACAGG
rnacentral:rRNA from 1 species